rnacentral:rRNA from 1 species
UACGUAGGGGGCGAGCGUUGUCCGGAAUCAUUGGGCGUAAAGCGCGUGUAGGCGGUCCGGUAAGUCCGCUGUGAAAGUCGGGGGCUCAACCCUCGGAUGCCGGUGGAUACUGUCGGGCUUGAGUACGGAAGAGGCGAGUGGAAUUCCUGGUGUAGCGGUGAAAUGCGUAGAUAUUGGGAGGAACACCAGUGGCGAAGGCGGCUCACUGGACCGGUACUGACGCUGAUGCGCGAAAGCGUGGGGAUCAAACAGG